GACGAACGCUGGCGGCGUGCUUAACACAUGCAAGUCGAACGGAAAGGCCCUGCUUUUGUGGGGUGCUCGAGUGGCGAACGGGUGAGUAACACGUGAGUAACCUGCCCUUGACUUUGGGAUAACUUCAGGAAACUGGGGCUAAUACCGGAUAGGAGCUCCUGCUGCAUGGUGGGGGUUGGAAAGUUUCGGCGGUUGGGGAUGGAUUCGCGGCUUAUCAGCUUGUUGGUGGGGUAGUGGCUUACCAAGGCUUUGACGGGUAGCCGGCCUGAGAGGGUGACCGGCCACAUUGGGACUGAGAUACGGCCCAGACUCCUACGGGAGGCAGCAGUGGGGAAUAUUGCACAAUGGGCGGAAGCCUGAUGCAGCAACGCCGCGUGCGGGAUGACGGCCUUCGGGUUGUAAACCGCUUUCGCCUGUGACGAAGCGUGAGUGACGGUAAUGGGUAAAGAAGCACCGGCUAACUACGUG
rnacentral:rRNA from 1 species